rnacentral:rRNA from 1 species
GAUGAACGCUGGCGGCGUGCCUAAUACAUGCAAGUCGAGCGAACAGACGAGGAGCUUGCUCCUCUGACGUUAGCGGCGGACGGGUGAGUAACACGUGGAUAACCUACCUAUAAGACUGGGAUAACUUCGGGAAACCGGAGCUAAUACCGGAUAAUAUAUUGAACCGCAUGGUUCAAUAGUGAAAGACGGUUUUGCUGUCACUUAUAGAUGGAUCCGCGCCGCAUUAGCUAGUUGGGAAGGUAACGGCUUACCAAGGCAACGAGGCGUAGCCGACCGGAGAGGGUGACAGGCCACACGGGAAGUGAGACACGGUCCAGGCGCCUGCGGGAGGCAGCAGUAGGGAAUCGUCCGCAAUGGGCGAAAGCCUGACGGAGCAACGCGGCGUGAGUGAUGAAGGUCUUCGGAUCGUAAAACUCUGUUAUUAGGGAAGAACAAAUGUGUAAGUAACUAUGCACGUCUUGACGGUACCUAAUCAGAAAGCCACGGCUAACUACGUG